rnacentral:rRNA from 1 species
CACGGAGGGUGCAAGCGUUGCUCGGAAUCACUGGGCGUAAAGGGCGUGUAGGCGGUUUCGUAUGUCUGGCGUGAAAGCCCCGGGCUCAACCCGGGAAGUGCGUUGGAAACUGCGAAACUAGAGUCUCGGAGAGGAAGGUGGAAUUCCAGGUGUAGCGGUGAAAUGCGUAGAUAUCUGGAAGAACACCGGUGGCGAAGGCGGCCUUCUGGACGAUGACUGACGCUGAGACGCGAAAGCGUGGGGAGCAAACAGG